rnacentral:rRNA from 1 species
GAUGAACGCUGGCGGCGUGCCUAAUACAUGCAAGUCGAGCGAACAGACGAGAAGCUUGCUUCUCUGAUGUUAGCGGCGGACGGGUGAGUAACACGUGGAUAACCUACCUAUAAGACUGGGAUAACUUCGGGAAACCGGAGCUAAUACCGGAUAAUAUAUUGAACCGCAUGGUUCAAUAGUGAAAGACGGUUUUGCUGUCACUUAUAGAUGGAUCCGCGCUGCAUUAGCUAGUUGGUAAGGUAACGGCUUACCAAGGCGACGAUGCAUAGCCGACCUGAGAGGGUGAUCGGCCACACUGGAACUGAGACACGGUCCAGACUCCUACGGGAGGCAGCAGUAGGGAAUCUUCCGCAAUGGGCGAAAGCCUGACGGAGCAACGCCGCGUGAGUGAUGAAGGUCUUCGGAUCGUAAAACUCUGUUAUUAGGGAAGAACAUAUGUGUAAGUAACUGUGCACAUCUUGACGGUACCUAAUCAGAAAGCCACGGCUAACUACGUG